GUUUUAUUUCAUUCUAUUUUAGAAUAUUUCUAUUUUACAUCCAAGCAGUUCAUGCCCAUAGUUUAAAAAGUUUAAAAAGGUACUUUCCCUGCCCUUCCCACCUGACUAGCAACCAGGGCUCCCACCUGACUAGCAACCAGGGCACCCACCUGGAUGAAAGGCAGCCACUUCAACUCUUCCCUGCCUCCCCAUGGCAUUCUCACAUUGCUGUUCUUGACUUUUCACUUUUAGAUAGUGCUACAGUCUGAGUGGUUAUGUUCUCCUAAAAUUCAUAUGUCAGAACUCUAAUCCUUAAGAGAUGGUAUUAGGAGGUGGGGCCUUUGAGAGGUGGUUAGGUCAUGGGUUUGGAGCCCUCACGAGUGGGAUCAGCACCUUUAAAGAAAGCAUCUUUGGGAGGCCAAGGUGGGCAGAUCAUUUGAGGUCAGGAGUUUGAGGCCAGCCUGGCCAACAUGGUGAAACCCCAUCUCUACUAAAAAAAUACAAAAAUUAGCUGGGUGUGGUGGCACAUGCUUGUAAUCCCAGCUACUCGGGAGGCUGAGGUAGGAGAAUUGCUUGAACCUGGGAGGUGGAGGCUGCAGUGAGCCGAGAUCGCACCAUCCCACUCCAGCCUAGGCGACAGAGUGAGACUCUGUCUCAAAACAAACAAACAAACAAAAAAAAACCCAAGGGAGACCCCUCACUCCUUCUACCAUGUGAGGUCACAGCAAGAAGGCGCCAUCUACAAAUCAGAAGGCAGGCUCUCACCAGACAACAAAUCUGCCAGUGCUUUGAUCUUACACUCCCCCCUCCAAGAACUGGGAGAAGGAGAUUUCUGUUGCCUAUAAGCCACACUGUGUACAGGAUUUUGCUACAGUAGCCCAGGUGAACUAAGACAGAUAGUAUCUAUUAACUCUAUCCUAUAGAAAUUGAGGAUUUCACUUCCUCAUAUACCUCCAUACUGCCUGGCACAGACAUACACAUGGACACACACAUGCACACACACGUGUGCACACAUAUGUGGACACACACAUUCACGCGCUCUCAUUUUCUCUAAUGAUGUGAUAAACUAGGGCUGUAUCAGCAUCUAGAGGUUGCCUUACUAUGCCUGUGUGACCAUAUUAACAUUCUCAGCUGAUUUAUAUAACAUUUGUUUUCUUACUCAACUGUUUUUAUUUGUCCUAGAGUUAAUAAUUAUCUAUAUCUUUUUCUUGUUCACUUUCCUAUGUACUUAUCACAAUUGUAUCCUAAAACUCUGCCAGAAGUAGAAAUCUCCUUUCGAGGCAUUCAAACGUAUCUACUAUCAGUUUUAUUUUUAUCUUGGAGACAUCGUUCUAGAACCCUAGCCUCGCUGCUGGCCUUGUUGCCUUCUAGAGUCGCUGCUUCCUUUUUGUCAAUCUCAGGAUGAGAACAUGUUUGGGGGCCAUUAUUCUGCCUACCAUGAUGAAAUUUAUUCUGCUUUUAGCUAGACUGAAAUGUUCAAAUCAACCAACGACAUUUUUCUCCCAGUUCCCCCUCUCUUUGCCAACCAGUAACUCUUUGGAUAUGUAGCUACAAGAAUGCAGCCUUGUUUUCUGGGUCAGAAAGCACUUCCUCUCUCUUUUUAGGAGUCAGAAAUUCAUGUUCUCAUUUUACAGACAGAAAAAUAGAGGCCCAGAGAAUAUGAAUAUUUUGCUGAAAAUCCUAGAGAGCAAAGUUCAGUCUCAUUUCCAAGACUGAUCUUUGUCUUCCACAUGUGGCAUCCAUGACGUUGUUUUCCAGUUGUUCCUGGAUAAUGUGAUAGGCGAGUUACUACAUCAGCAUAAAGCAUUUCCACAUGAUUCCUUGUAGAAGUGCCACCAAAGCAUGUUUCCAGUGCAGAUGGUUAUUCUUCAUUUACCACUUUUACUUUCACAAUUUACUUUGUAAAAUGGGCAUUUUACUCCUAAAUAAGAGAGAAUCAUGUGGUCCUAUUACUUUUAUAGCCAUAAAUAUUGGAAGCCUGAAACAAAAUUUCCAUGUCUUCCACCCACCGCCUCCCUGCCUAGCUUUAGGCUGUGUCGGUGACAGCCAUGACAUCUCAGAAUGGAGCCUGUAGGGGCUGGGUCAGAGCCAUUUAUGGAACAAUGCUCUUCCCUUUGUUUUCAGCGAGCUAGUUGUAAACACAUUUCAGACCUCUUGCUUUCUCUCAAUUCUUCUGCAGUUCACGUUUGAGAUUGCGAGAUGCUAUUUCUUUUGACAACAAUAAAAGCUUCUCCGUUCAUGGUUGGGCCCCAGCUUUGACAGACUAGAAAUGCCACCCAUGUGGGCUCCACAGCUUCCUUACAAGGAAAAGAGUGAGCUGGGGUGACCUGCGCUAGUGAAACCGGCCCUUGGUCCUGAUAUCCAAAGCUCACCUGUCCUGCCUCCGGCUCUGGAAAUGUUUUGUCUUGUGUAUUUUUCAAGACAGUGAAAGAAGACACAGUUUCAUGUUCGAGAAACUGAAGUUCUCAGAGAUUCAGUAACUUGCCUGAAGUUACUAAUAAGUGGUCAAGCUGCAGUUUAAACCUAAACCCAUCGAAGUGCAUGUUGCUUCCAGCUGGGACACCCAGCCCACUUAGGGAUGGCUGGAAUCCUAAGUCCUUCUGUGUCAUAUCUGAGUGUCGACGGAAGUAGCAGAUGCCCAUCCUCAUGGUGAGAACCUUUUCAGACACGGGGUUGGUGACCUGUCCCCAAAGGUCAGUGCAGUGGUCCUGUGUGGGGUGCAGUGUAGGGUAGGGCUCAGCAGGCAAGGUCUUCAAGCCUGCACAGCCAGCCCCAAGCUCUGGAUCUCUGAUUAUUAUGGAAUUGGAUGGGAACAUGAUUCUAACAUAACCCAAGUGCCGAAAGAGAGCAAAUACUCAAAUGGGAAAGCACUGAUGAAUGAAGGUGGAGCUUACCCAAGUUCAAAUAGCUUAACAUUUGCAGGAUUCUCAUAGGAUCUUUACCCUAUGGCUUUUUCCCCCCAGAAAUUUCAAGAAAGGACCAUUAUUAGUGAUGGGAGGAAGGCACCUUGAUACUACUUUCUAACAUCCUUAAAGAAAAACCCCUGGAUGUUCUGAUAUAUUUAAGAAGAAAUAAGAGAUAGGAAGAUAAAUCAGAAGUCCAAAACCCUAGAGUUCUAAGGCCUGCUCUUUCAUUAACUAACUAUAUGACUGGUGGCAACUCAUGCUCCAUGCCUCAGUUUACCCAUAUUUAAAAUAAAAGAUUUGGGCUGGAUCAUUUUUGGUAAAUGCUCAAACUUUAAAAUAUUAUAAGCCAAUAAUGGAACAAAACUAAGUUUCUUCUGAUAAAUGUGUUUCUUUCUCCUGGGCUCCUUCUUCUGUCCUGUAAAAACUGCCCUGACCACCUCCUUUCAAAAGAGUAUUUCCUGUGCUGUGGUGAAACCUCUGUCUUCUUUUCCAAGGCCACAUGCUUCUGCCCACACUAACUUCCCAAGCACUUUCAGGCAUCAGUUCAUUUUCCUCAUAUCACCUACCACAACUUGUCAUUAUAUAUUUAUAGAUUUGUUUGUUUUAUAGAGACUGUUUCUCCUAUGAGAUUGCAAGUUCCAUGAGAACAGCUACUAUGCCUGCUUUGUUUACCAACGCAUAUUCACUGUCCAGCAUUGUGUGUGGAACAUAAAAGGCUCUUGGUUAAUGCCUGCUGAAUAAAUGAAUCUGUCAUCUUCCCUUUUUUGAUCAUUAUCAUAGGUAUCAUUUGUUAAGGGCUUACUAGGGAUCAGACAUUGAGCUGAUGCUUUGCAUGUAUUACCUCAUGAACACAUCACAACAACCUCACCUGGCAGGUUGCAUCUGUUUUGCAGAUGAAGUCACUGAGGAUCCAAGAGGUCAUGGAGCAAAUGCACUCUAGAACCUGGAUCCAAACCACAGCUGACUCACUCAGAGUCUAAGUACUGAGCCCUUGCAAAGUACUACCUUGGGUCCUCAGUGACUCUGAGCAUUAGGUCGGACAUGUAGUAGGUUCUCAGGAUAUGUGUACUGAAUUGAGUCUCUGUGUGAUGGAGCUAACAGAUGGUAAAUGGAGGUCAGUAUUUAUGACCCAUGGGGCUGAUAAUCUGAAGCUUCAAUGCCUGAGGUGGAUUCUGAAAUCUGGAGCAAGGAUUGGUAGAGUAGAAAAUCUCUUUCUAACAAUGAGAUUCAUUCUUGUGUGCGUGGAGAGUUUAACAGAGCUCCUUUCUUCCACCGUAUGAGGGUGUGACUUCAAAUUUUUCUUGAAAUGCACAUUUUUAAUUAGAAGAUUUUAUGUGGGUUGCCAAGCUUCUGAGAACUAAAAGGACACUUGUGCCUCGGGGACACUUACAGAGACUGGUCCCUCGGUAAGUGCAUAAUAAAAAAUACACAGAGAGCAACUGAAAUUAAACCCACAGGGAACCCAUUGCACUUGGUUUCAAAUACCUAAAGACUUGACAGCUACAGAAUAAAGAGAAAGAACAGAAACAAAAGUCAAUGCCAAUUUGCUUAAUUUGGGGUUCUUUUUCCUGAGAGUAUCUUUCUGAGAAUCUAGAGUUGGCAGAAAUGUUGGAGACUGUCAGGUCUAAGACCCCCUCCUGCAGAUGGGAGACUGAGGCCCGAAGAAGUUGUGGCAAGGUCAAAGCAAGGUCAAACCAAGUGAGCUAUGGGUCAGAAAGAAGAGAAGGCAUCACUGUGUGCUACAGCAGGGCCCUAGGAGAAAUUUGCUGGUGGUGAGGAAGAUGGGGAUUGGUGGGGAUUGCAAGAGUAGGGGGUGGGGCGGACAGCUCUCUAGCAAUAUGGCUUCUGCUCUGUUCAAAGCGAAAUUAGAAAUUGUUCAAACAGAAAAUGAGUAUGUCAAGAAAAUCACAUGUCAAGGAAUAUAGAGUCACUUAUUAGUGUUUGUCUCCAGAACAUAAUCUAACGGACUGUAGGAGAAAUCCCAGAUUCUCUUGGGCUCCUUUGCUGCCUCAAGCUCUCUUAUACUUGAAUCCCCCACCCUUAGACACAUUGCUGUCCCUUAAACUUGAGAGUAGCGCCAAUAAAUCUCCAAAUAGCCUGGACUGAACUGGAAUCAGAAUAAUAUUAAUGCACUUAAGGAAAGAAUGGGUCAUUGAAAAGGUGAGGGGUAGUAUCUUAGAAUAUAUAAUUCAAAGGGGAGAAUAGCCUGGUACAUUCAGCACUGCCCAGGUGAAAGGAAUACAGUAUGUGAAGGACGCUAGUAGCUCUAAUCACCAGAGGUAUAGGGUAGGAUGUAGAAGUAUUUCACAGGGAAUUUUAAUAAAAUGUUUCUCCAAGCUGGAUCUGAUUCCAUGGUUGCAAGUAAUCUUCAUAAACUUCAAUGACCAGGCCAGGUGUGGUGGCUCACACUGGUAAUCCUAGUAUUUUGGAAGGCCAAAGUGGGAGGAUCACUUGAGGUAAGGAGUUGAAGACCAGCCUCGGCAACAUAGAGAGAGCUCAUCUCUACAAAAAUUUUUUUUUAAUUAGCCAGGUGUGAUGGUACGUGCCCAUAGUCCUAGCUACUAAAGAGACUGAGGCAGGAGGACCCCCUCAAGCCCAGAAGUGAGCUACAGUGAGUUAUGAUCGUGCCACUGCACUCCAGCCUGGGUGACAGAGCGAGACCUUGUCACUAAAACAUUUAAAAAACAAAACACAACAAAACUUCAACAAUUGAUGACCUGGUGUGUGUUAUUUUUAAAAUCUUGAUUUUAAAGCUUGAUUCUAGGAAUGGGGUAUGAGCAUGUACACAGGACUGCUGAGAGCUGGUUUGAGCACAGUGAAGAAAUGAGACUUGGAGCCCCAUCAAAGGCAGACAGCUAGAAAUCUUCACAGGGGAUUUAUGCUCAAGUCCAAGUCUCCUUUCCACCCUGGCAGCUCCAGCAGCCUGUCCUUAGCUUCCACUUCCUGUGUAGUUCAUCAGCUCUGGAUGGACAUGAGUGGUCCUGUCACUGGGGAAAGAGAUCAUUCUUGCUAUAAAUACAUGGAUGGUGUGGCUUCAGUGUCCACCUCUGUGAAGUGAGUUGUUGAAACGAUAUCUUAGGAAGUCUAUGAACCUGUGAUAUGGUUUGGCUGUGCCCCCACCCAAACCCCAUCUUGAAUUCCCACGUGUGGUGGGAGGGACUCAGUGGGAGGUAAUUGAAUCAUGGGGGCAAGUCUUUCCUGUGCCGUUUUCAUGACAGCGAAUAAGUCUCACAAGAUCUGAUGGUUUUAAAAAGAAGAAUUCCCCUGCACAAGCUCCCUCUCGUUGCCUGCUGCCAUCCAUGUAAGAUGUGACUUGCUCUUCCUUGCAUCCACCAUGAUUGUGAGGCUUUCCCAGUCACGUGGAACUGUAAGUCCAGUUAAACCUCUUUCUUUUGUAAAUUGCCCAGUCUCGGGUAUGUCAGCAGUGUGAAAACAACGGACUAAUACAACCCAAUAGGGGAGGAUCUGAUCCCAAAGCCUGAUCAUGCUCUGAGGCAACAAGCCCCACUUUGGAGACACCUUAGCAGGCAGCCAUUCUUCACCAGGUGGCCCCAUUCUCCAUCGCCCAAGCACCGUCUUCUCAAUGCUGCCCCCUGCUGAUAGGCGUCUCUCACUCUGCAGUGCUGGGGUCCAUGGCUGGCCAUGACAGCAGGGUUUACCUGCCCUUGCCACUUGUUUUCACCUGACUGUGGUUAAGCCUCUUUACGUCCCUGAGUUUCUGUUGUUUCAUAUACACAGGAAAAAUGCUGCUUCAGAACCUUUCUCACAGCCCAAAUGAGAGCAUGUCUAGGAAAAGGUUUUAAAAGCAUCCAUCGUUUUACAGAUGUGAUAGGCUGGUAACAACUCCAUCAACACACAUUUCUAAAGAUGCUCCAUGUACACUCAUCAGUGUAAUGCAAAUCCCAUGAAGAUCCCCCUCUCCAGCCAUUUCCCUUGAAACAGACACCUUGGACACCUGUCCAAGACAGGUGGCCAGAUGCCAAGAGAUCUGAGGGUGACCUUAUUUUGUCCACCUUAGUGUUUUAUUACAAAAAAAGAAAAGUCUUGAUUUACUUCCAUUAAGAAACCAAGUCUUAUCUCCUAAACAUAAGUCCAUUUCUUCCUUGUUCUUUUUGGAAUACCGAAAAUGACCAUGAAGAAUCUAAUUCACAAAACAUCAUGCACUUGAAGACGAUCCUAAUGGUACCUUUCAGUUUGCUCAUCAGUAGACAAAUUAAAAUUAUCUCGAUUCCUAUAUAUCAUUCCCUACAUUUUACUGUGUCCCAUGUAUCAUUGUUUUUACUUCAUUAGCUAAAAAUUCAAAGCAUUAGAAACCAUUUUUACCUUUCUUUCUCCCUUCCUUCCUUCCUUCCUUUCUUUCUUUCUUUUCUUCCUUUCUUCCUUUCUUUUUCUUUUUUUGAAGACGGGGUCUCACUAUGUUGCCCAGACUAGUUUAGAACUCCACAUCUCAAGUCAUCCCUCCACCUCUAUCUCCCAAGUCGUUGGGAUUACAGGUGUGAACCACCAUGCCCAUGUCUGGACCAAUUUUUCUUUAAUACCAAACAGCACAAUUUGGGAAUCUCUGUUUUCUUACAACUCGUCUACUACCAGACCAUUUAACAGCUGUUCUGAACUAAAGCCUGGGAACCCCAAUAUAGAAAACUCAGCUGGAAUGGGGACCCAAAGAGAAGUCAAGUGAGUGAGUCACUUGACUUCUCUGGGACCCAAAGUCUUGUCAAGUUGGUUUCUCCCAUUGUCUGCUGCUCAGACACUGUCAUGUAAUCUGAGGUUUUUAAGGAGCAACUGGACAACCACAGAUCCUGCACAACCACGGAUCCAGGCCAACCCUAUCAUUUUGCAGAUGAAGCAACAGAAGCCCACAGGGACGAAGUGACCAGCUCAGAACCUCCAGCAGUCACUGGCCAGGCCAGGAAAAGAAUUCAGGUCUCCUGACUUCCAAAUAAGUGUCCUUUCCAUGGCAUAUGCAUAAGAUAUGGUUACAAUGGAAACUACUUUUUUUCUUAUCCCAUUAGCCAGAAAAGUUCAUCUAAGAAACAGGUGACUGAUGGGAAAGUUUGCCUACUGGAGGCAUGAGGAAAUCAAGUUACUUUAUUGUAAUUAGACAGUAGUUCUUUUCUUUGACUGAGAGGAGAGUGAAAAGUGCAAGGAGAAACAAGACAAAGAACGACUGCCUAGAAGUUACUCCAUUAUGGUUUGCUGCACUGUCCUAUCCACAAAGAUACUUGCCUGCCAUUCCUUGCCUGUGUGACUUCCAGUGAGUCACUUGACUUCUCUGGACCUUGGAAGCUCUUGUGCUCUCUGAGAGCACAGCAGAGGCCCUGUUCUGGCCAUUGGACAUCAUGAAGAUCUGUUGUCCUCCCCAGAUGGACACACCCUAGAUCAGCACCUUCUUUUCUUCCUUGUCUCAGUACUUCUUAUAGAGCCAGGAUAUCCUUAAUGUUUUGUGGGUUUUUUUUGGGGGGGGGGUGCGGGGGCGGGUGGGGAGGGUAGGUAUUUUGUGCAUUGAAUAAUUGUCUUCCCAGUUGGAUAUUUUUUGGGGGCUUUGACUGUGUCUUUUUGCUUCUUUUAACAUGUUUCUUGCUGGGUCUUGUCUCGCUUAUAAGGCAGGAACCCAGACCCCUGCAACGAGUCGCACUCUGGUAUUUCCAGAAGCCCUGGAUGGCUUUAUAUGUGCUCCCAUACAAUUAGUUCAGCCAUCUUUGUCUCUUAACACUGUUCCAGAACUCUCUGCGCAGACCAUGACAUCUUCCUGGCAUCACUGAUACUUCCACUGGGCACUGCUAUGCCCUCUUGUCACUGCCUUACCAGCUGCAGAAAAUGACUAUAGUUGCUCCCUUUAUUUUCUUUCUUUUUCUGAUGUGUGUGUAUUUCCAAUUUCCCCCCUCCCUUUCUGCUACUAUUUAUUUAGUCCCCAGGUGACUGGAUAGCUAGAUAGGAUUUUGACUGCACUGGAAAAGGAAUAAACACCACCCAGAGCUGGAAACACUGACCAUGAGACAUGGAGUCUUUCCUCCUGCGGGGAAGGGAUGGACAUUUUCAUUUGUAGAAGGGCUAGUUGUAUAAGGUAAGAGCAUGCUGCUGCUGUUAUCAUUUAAAAGUUUAAUUAUGGAAAGAAGCAUAUAUGUGGAUGUUAAAUAAUAAAAAAGGUGGAAUAUUGCUCACUCAACACCUAUCUCAAGCCUCUGAGCUUGCCUUUCUGAGCUACAGGAUAGAAAACUAAAAUUAGAUUUCCUAAUUCUUCUUCCAGCUAGGGAGCUUCCUUGAGAAAUGGUGUAGUACAAGUCCUGAAAUUAAGAUUAAAUAGCAUGGGGAGGCCUCAAAUGGCCUAAUCUCAAGUCCCUUGCCCACUCUGCUGUGGCAGAUAAGGUCCCCUAACCAAACAAGCCCUCCUUGUCAGGGAGACCAGGCCCAGUGUCUGCUUAUCCCUGAGUGGUGGGCUUCAGGCCCCUGCCAGCACACAGAAAUAUUCAGACAAGCCACAUGCAUCCUCUCGUGGGAAGCAGGCCUCACCUCACCCUCUGUUAUUGGAAAGACUGCCUCCCACAGACCCUGUUUGUUCAUUGUGCUCCCAAAUAGAAUCCCCAUAUGGCCCUGUACAGUAUGCACUGUCCUCCUCCCCUGGACAGUGAGUGUAUAUGACUAAUAAACUGAUGUUUAUUUCAUCUAUCCGGUGCUGGGUGUCAUAUGUUUGACCAUUCCUAUAACCCUAGAGGGCUAGGGAAACCCUCCCUCAACAAUUACCUGAAGAGGAAGUGAUUGAAAUACAUGGCUCUAGCAAAUAGGUGGUCUUGCAUGAGAUUUUGGGGCAGAAGUAAGAAACAUGGGAGUAGCAAUGUGGAGAGUACAGAGACAGAGGCAUCUGUUCUUCCAGGGGAGCCGUGGAGAAAAUGGUAGUUUUCACCAUGGAAUACUAUGCAGCCAUAAAAAGGAAUGAGAUUGUGUCCUCAGCAGGGACAUGGAUAAAGCUGGAAGCCAUUAUCCUCAGCAAACUAACACAGGAACAGAAAACCAAACACUGCAUGUUCCUGCUUACAAGUGGGAGCUGAAUGAAGAGAACACAUGGACACAGGGAGGGGAAAAACACAUAGUGGGGCCUGUUGAGGGGUGGGAGGGAGAGCAUCAGGAAGAAUAGCUAAUGGAUGCUGGGCUUGAUACCUAGGUGAUGGGUUGAUCUGUGUAGCAAACCACCGUGGCACACAUUUACCUGUGUAACAAACCUGCACAUCCUGCACAUGUACCCAGGAACUUAAAAUAAAAGUUGAGGAUAAAA
rnacentral:lncRNA from 1 species